rnacentral:rRNA from 1 species
GACAGCAGCCGCCACGGUAAUACGUAGGUGGCAAGCGUUGUCCGGAAUUAUUGGGCGUAAAGGGCUCGCAGGCGGUUUCUUAAGUCUGAUGUGAAAGCCCCCGGCUCAACCGGGGAGGGUCAUCGGAAACUGGGGAACUUGAGUGCAGAAGAGGGGAGUGGAAUUCCACGUGUAGCGGUGAAAUGCGUAGAGAUGUGGAGGAACACCAGUGGCGAAGGCGACUCUCUGGUCUGUAACUGACGCUGAGGAGCGAAAGCGUGGGGAGCGAACAGGAUUAGAUACCCGAGUAGUCCCUGUCUCUUAUAA